UUGACCAAAUAGUGACACAGCUUCAUGGAAGGAAGAGACUUUUCCUCCUGGAAUUUUCCACUGUCAGACUAAAUGAAGAUUUUGCCAUUAGUACAAUUCAAGUCUUAUAGAAAUAGGCUCAGUUAAUUUAUAUCUAUCAGAAGCCAAGAUCAGCUCUUGAGACAUGAACACCCGUGGGGAGGAAUGAUGGACCUCAUAUGUCACGACAGACUGUGCCUGUUGUGAACAACCAUGUCUUACUCGCUCAUUGUGGCGCACAAGCUGAACACCUUUCCCCUAGGAGCUGUGAAGGUGGAAGAGGUGCGUGGGAGGUACCGGGAUCUGCCGCCGCCAUCUCACAGGACCUCCCGUACAUCACAGGGAGCAGCGACAGCCGAGGUGGCUGUUUAAAGGACUCCAGAAACUGAGAGUCACAAAGAGAGUUUAUGACAACUGUAAAGAUGCCUGAGUACAGCUUGUUUGCUGUGGGAAAGUUAAAAAAAACCAAGCUGGGGGUUUCCCGAGGUAACAGAUCUUCUGCUAUGCAACCUGACAGGUUGUUAGGGCUCUUCAGCUGAAAAUCUUAACCGCAUUGCUUCGGUGACUUAUACUAACUCUAAUUUAGUGGCCACAUGCAGGACUGUUCUGUCUGGACCGCGUACAGAAAACAUUACUGCACAGACUCCACAGAGCAGCCCUGCAAGUGGUUAAAAGAAUCAAAAAGAGAUCCGUCUGCCUCUUCAAGAGAAAGGUAAACACCUUAAAAACCUCAUCACCAUACAAGGGAAAAAAUGAAGAGCCCGGGCAGCAUGUACUGAUAGUUGCACAACGCGUCCUAUGUGCCAUCUCUAAAAAUAGCCCGUACGGCGAUACCCCUGGAAAAGACCAGCGUGUCUCAUCCAGCUGGAAAGUGUGGCAGCAGCGAGCGGCGCGUGAGUGCCGUCGCUGCAUGACGCACUCUCUUCUGCCGUUAUCUUCAAAGCCAUCGGAUUUGAACUCAUCUGCAUCGGGCG